UGGGGUGUGGCCAAGCGGUAAAGGCACCGGGUUCUGGCCCCGGGAUCCCAGGUUCGAAUCCUGGCACCCCAG
rnacentral:tRNA from 1 species